UACGGAGGGGGCUAGCGUUAUUCGGAAUUACUGGGCGUAAAGGGCGCGUAGGCGCCUGUUAAGUCGAACGUGAAAUCCCCGGGCUCAACCCGGGAACUGCGUCCGAUACUGGCAGGCUUGAAUCCGGGAGAGGGAUGUGGAAUUCCAGGUGUAGCGGUCGAAAUGCGUAGAUAUCUGGAGGAACACCGGUGGCGAAGGCGA
rnacentral:rRNA from 1 species